UNCCACGUGUAGCAGUGAAAUGCGUAGAGAUGUGGAGGAAUNCCGAUGGCGAAGGCAGCCCCCUGGGAUAAUACUGACGUUCAUGCUNGAAAGCGUGGGUAGCAAACAGGAUUAGAUACCCUGGUAGUCCACGCCCUAAACGAUGUCAAUUAGCUGUUGGGGCACUUGAUGCCUUAGUAGCGAAGCUAACGCGUGAAAUUGACCGCCUGGGGAGUACGGUCGCAAGAUUAAAACUCAAAGGAAUUGACGGGGACCCGCACAAGCGGUGGAUGAUGUGGAUUAAUUCGAUGCAACGCGAAGAACCUUACCUGGUCUUGACAUGUACGGAAUCUUCCAGAGACGGAAGAGUGCCUUCGGGAGCCGUAACACAGGUGCUGCAUGGCUGUCGUCAGCUCGUGUCGUGAGAUGCUGGGUUAAGUCCCGCAACGAGCGCAACCCUUGUCAUUAGUUGCCACCAUUUAGUUGGGCACUCUAAUGAGACUGCCGGUGACAAACCGGAGGAAGGUGGGGAUGACGUCAAGUCCUCAUGGCCCUUAUGACCAGGGCUUCACACGUCAUACAAUGGUCGGUACAGAGGGUAGCCAAGCCGCGAGGUGGAGCCAAUCUCAGAAAACCGAUCGUAGUCCGGAUUGCACUCUGCAACUCGAGUGCAUGAAGUCGGAAUCGCUAGUAAUCGCAGGUCAGCAUACUGCGGUGAAUACGUUCCCGGGUCUUGUACACACCGCCCGUCACACCAUGGGAGUGGGGGAUACCAGA
rnacentral:rRNA from 1 species